UAUCAUGCUAUGAAUAGGAGUAUUAGUAAUAAAUAUAUCUUCAGAGAACUGUUGCUUGGUGCAAAGCAGUGUUAUGUUAUUAUGAACUUGCCUAGGAGCUUACUUGUUAAAAGCAGGUACGGUUAACUCCGUUAUAAUAUUAAGUGAGAAGAAUUAAUUUUGUUUUUUCUUCUAAUUAAGAGUGGUACCACGGAAUAUAUGCUUUCGUCUCUUUA
rnacentral:ncRNA from 1 species